CUUGGGUGCACCUUAAUAGAGGAUUGGUUCUAAUUGGUAGGUUUCUCCCACAACAUAUGCCCCCCACUCUUGAGUUUGAAGUAGUCUUUGGGCUUCGAGCGAAAGGAGUAACAACCCUAGUAGUUGAACUGAUGACCCGAUUCCUUUUUGGAUGCAUCUGCAUUACUACUUUCAAGAAGAAUAUUCGGGGAUUAAUGAUGCAUCUUUUUGUGACUCAUACC
rnacentral:lncRNA from 1 species